CUGCUGCAGGGGGUGGUACAGGCAUUAAAACGGGCACCAGCGCCUUGAAAGAGAGUAUUCGCGCUGCUUAACUACACAACUCCCCUUAAAAGUUAAAUGUUUAUUUAAAGAGAUGUUUUAAACAUCGCCCUUGGAUAAGAUAAUGGGCCUGAUCUUUAAUUAGGAAACUAUUAACACCUCUUUUCCUGGGAUGAUCUAUAUCGGUGUAGUGUGUAUGUGGGAAUCAUCUGUACUAAAACAAAGGUUAAAGACGGGUCGUUUAUACUCCUCUAAGGCAGCGGCAGUAGCUGCGCGUUUGAAACUGGGUCGCUAGAGAAGAUACUAUGGAGACGUGUUUUCUUCUCAGCAUUUGGAUAUUCAGUCUCCUAGGCUCUGCGCUGGGCGACUCGGUCAAAUCCAACGAACCCGAAAUGUCUGGAUCAGUUGGAGGUUCUGUGACACUCAGCUGUUCUUACACCACCAGCGAUACCUAUGUCUAUCUCUAUUGGUACCGUCAGUAUCCGAACCAAGCGCCGCAGUACAUUCUCUAUAGAGGAGCGAAGUCCUACAGCGAGUUCAGUGAUACCGCAAAUUUCGCCCAGCAGAGGUUUUCUUCACAGGCUAAUGACAGCUCCACGGUUCUGAACAUCGCAGCCCUGGAGCUGGCAGACAGCGCAGUUUAUUACUGCGCCCUAUGGAGAGCACAGUGACAGAGCCACAUAGCAGAGCUGUACAAAAACCCUCCCUUCCCAGCUGCAGAUAAUGUUGUGCACAUUGAGGUUGGAAGCGGAGCCCCUCGGAGUAUUGCUGCACUGUUAAAAACACUAUUCUGGCUCGGAUGUUGUGCUGUCAGAUUACUCCUUCCUGAUCUCUCCAAACCACCUGCAUUAAAAUAGUGGUUUCCAGAUGAGGAAAGAUGAAUAAGACUGUGACUUUUCAGCUGGGAAAAGAGAUGACUACGGUUGGAUAUGAUUGAGGGCUAUAAAAUCAUAACUACUAUGAGGCGAGGGAUAGCUCAGUGGUUUGAGCAGUGCCUUGCUAAAUCCAGGGCUGUGUGUUCAAUCCUUGAGGGGACCAUCUAGAGAACUGGGGUAAAAAUCUGUCUGGGGAUUGGUCCUGCUUUGAGCAGGAAGUUGGAGUAGAUGACCUUAUG